CCCUUAGAUGUUCUGGGCAGCACGCGCGCUACAAUGGUCUUCGCAAACGGAUGCCUUCUCGAAGGAGAAUGCCAAUCUUGGAAUCUAUGCCUUGGUCGGGACAGUUGCUUGCAAUUUUUCGACUCGAACCAGGAAUUCCUUGUAAUCGUGAUUCAUCACAUCACGAUGAAUACGUCCCUGCCCUUUGUACACACCGCCCGUCGCUCCUACCGAUCGAAGAGUUAGGUGAAUUGUUUUGAUCGAUAAGAUUUGACUAUGGUCAACUCUCGUUGUGAAAUUCUGUGAAUCUGACUGUUUAGAGGAAGGAAAAGUCGUAACA
rnacentral:rRNA from 1 species